GCGUGUAAUUUCUCAUAAGUCAUAAUUUCGAGGGGGAAGGGAUACAUAACCUUGUAACAAGCAGAAGAACACCUGUGACAGACGGAAACGUUUCUACGUUUGAACCUUAUUUUUACUUUUGCCAAUUUUCUCGAGCACCCGCAACAUGCUGAAAGGACUGCUGACCUAUUUUGUGGGGGUCUACACAGGCCUUUACCUUGCACAAACUUAUGACGUGCCCAAAGUAGAUGAACCUGAAAAGCUACUUCAAAGAAUCAAGGACUUUGCAGACAGCCAUAGAAAAGAAUAAAUUCAUAUCCUAUUUUAUUCACCCAAAUCAAUUUUUUAUUUUCUCUUGAUUUCAAUGACGAUUUUAUUUAGCGUUUUCUUUUCAAGAAAGGGUCUGUUAACUUCUUGGAUCCAACUGUCCAAGUGGUUCAAUGUCAUGAUGUUCUUAAUGUAUUGUGCGCACGAAUCACAUUCUAAUCGACUGUAAGUGAUUCGUUUGCUUUGUAGGAGUGGCUGUGAUUGUAAAGAUUAGUACUUAUGUUGCCUUAAUCAGUUCAAAUGCCUGUGGAUUAUAGGUCAGAAUUAGUGUCAAAAUGUUGUACCUUUUUUGCUCUCUUUGGUUAUUUCACUUGUAAAAAAUAAUAGUCAAACUACAGGUUUUUUUAUCUUGCCAUUUAAUGCUUCUUUAAUUUAGUAUAAAUUUAAAACACAUGUCUACAGGGAGUGCAAGAAAACAUGUAAGAAUUGUUUAAUCUGUACCAAGAAUCUUGUUUAAAUGUAAAUAUAUCAGUCAGAUUUUUGGUUUUAUUCAGAA